rnacentral:rRNA from 1 species
UACGUAGGGCGCGAGCGUUGUCCGGAUUUAUUGGGCGUAAAGAGCUCGUAGGCGGCUCGUUGCGUCAACCGUGAAAACCCGGGGCUUAACUUCGGGCUUGCGGUUGAUACGGGCGGGCUGGAGUUCGGUAGGGGAGACUGGAAUUCCGGGUGUAGCGGUGGAAUGCGUAGAGAUCCGGAAGAACACCGGUGGCGAAGGCGGUCUGCUGGGCAGUUUCUGACACUGAUGCGCGACAGCGUGGGGA